rnacentral:rRNA from 1 species
UACGAAGGGUGCAAGCGUUACUCGGAAUCACUGGGCGUAAAGCGUGCGUAGGCGGUUCGUUAAGUCUGCUGUGAAAGCCCUGGGCUCAACCUGGGAACUGCAGUGGAUACUGGCGGACUAGAGUGUGAUAGAGGAUGGUGGAAUUCCCCGGUGUAGCGGUGAAAUGCGUAGAGAUCGGGAGGAACACCAGUGGCGAAGGCGGCCAUCUGGAUCAACACUGACGCUGAGGCACGAAAGCGUGGGGAG